UACGUAGGGUGCAAGCGUUGUCCGGAAUUAUUGGGCGUAAAGAGCUCGUAGGCGGUUUGUUGCGUCGGCUGUGAAAUCCCGAGGCUCAACCUCGGGUCUGCAGUCGAUACGAGCAAACUAGAGUGUUGCAGGGGAGACUGGAAUUCCUGGUGUAGCGGUGAAAUGCGUAGAUAUCUGGAGGAACACCGGUGGCGAAGGCGGCAUCCUGGACCGAUAUUGACGCUGAUGCGCGAAAGCCAGGGGAGCAAACGGG
rnacentral:rRNA from 1 species